GACGAACGCUGGCGGCGUGCUUAACACAUGCAAGUCGAGCGGAAAGGCCCUUCGGGGUACUCGAGCGGCGAACGGGUGAGUAACACGUGAGUAACCUGCCCCAGACUUUGGGAUAACCCUCGGAAACGGGGGCUAAUACCGGAUACGACACAGCUUCGCAUGGGGUCUGUGUGGAAAGUUUUUCGGUUUGGGAUGGGCUCGCGGCCUAUCAGCUUGUUGGUGGGGUGAUGGCCUACCAAGGCGACGACGGGUAGCCGGCCUGAGAGGGCGACCGGCCACACUGGGACUGAGACACGGCCCAGACUCCUACGGGAGGCAGCAGUGGGGAAUAUUGCACAAUGGGCGGAAGCCUGAUGCAGCGACGCCGCGUGAGGGAUGACGGCCUUCGGGUUGUAAACCUCUUUCAGCAGGGACGAAGCGUAAAUGACGGUACCUGCAGAAGAAGCGCCGGCCAACUACGUG
rnacentral:rRNA from 1 species